rnacentral:rRNA from 1 species
UACGGGGGGUGCGAGCGUUGUCCGGAAUCACUGGGCGUAAAGGGCGCGUAGGUGGUUUGAUAAGGGUGUGGUGAAAGUCCGGGGCUCAACCUGGGAACUGCAUUUGUGACUGCAUCGCUGGAGUGCGGCAGAGGGGGAUGGAAUUCCGCGUGUAGCAGUGAAAUGCGCAGAUAUCAGGAGGAACACCGGUGGCGAAGGCGGGUCUCUGGGCCGUAACUGACGCUGAGGAGCGAAAGCAUGGGGAGCGAACAGG